AGACACGUGCGACAUUUGGUGCCAAAGACCUGGGACAGGAGGACUUCUUUGGGAGAUCAGUCCCCUGUCCUCGCCCUCACUCCAUGAGGAGAUCCACCUAUGACCUCAGGUCCUCAGAACAACCAGCCCAAGGAACAUCUCACUAAUUUCAAAUUGGGAUCUUGCUUCAAGUGCUGGAAAUCUGGCCACUGGGCCAAGGAAUGCCUGCAGCCCAGGAUUCCUCCUAAGCCAUGUCCCAUCUGUGCGGGACCCCACUGGAAAUCAGACUGUCCACCUCGCCUAGCAGCCACUCCCAGAAUCCCUGGAACUCUGGCCCAAGGCUCUCUGACUGACUCCUUCCCAGAUCUUCUCAGCUUAGCGGCUUAAGACUGACACUGCCUGAUUGCCUCGGAAGCCUCCUGGACCAUCACAGAUGCUUUGGACAGGAAUGUCAGGCCUCUGAGCCCAAGCCUGCACGUGUACAUCCAGAUGACCUGAAGCAACUGAAGAAUCACAAAAGAAGUGAAAAUGGCCGAUUCCUGCCUUAACUGAUGACAUUACCUUGUGACAUUCCUUCUCCCGGACAAUAAGUCUCCGGAGCUCCCCACUAAGCACCUUGUGACCCCCGCCCCUGCCCACAAGAGAACAACCCCCUUUGACUGUAAUUUUCCACUACCUACCCAAAUCCUAUAAAACUGCCCCACCCCUAACUCCCUUUGCUGACUCUCUUUUCAGACUCAGCCCACCUACACCCAGGUGAUUAAAAAGCUUUAUUGCUC